UUUCAAAGAUAGCUUCUUUCUAGUUUUUAUUGCGGGAUAUUUGGUUUUUCUCUAUAGGCCUGAAGUGGGCUGCAAAAUGGCAUUUCACAGACUCUACAAAAAGAGUGUUUCCAACCUGCGGAAUCAAAAGACAGGUUUAACUAUGUGAACUGAAUGCACACAUCACAAAGCAGUUUCACAGGUAGUUUCUUUGUAGUUUGCAUCAGGGGAUAUUCAGUUUUACACUGUAGUCAUCUUUGGCCCCUGAAAUGCCCCUUUGCAGAUUCUACAAAAAGAGUUUUUCCAACCUGUUGAAUCAAAAGAAAGGUUUAUCUCUUUGACCUGAAUCCACAUAUCACAAAGCAGUUUCACAGAUAUAGCUUCUUUAAGGUUUUUAUCAUGGGAUAUUCACUUUUUCACUAUAGGCCUCAGAAAGCUCUGAAAUGUCCCUUUGCAUAUACCACAAAAAGUGUGUUUACUAAACCAGAAAAUCAAAAGGAAAGUUUAACUUUGUGAGCUGAAUCCAUACAUCACAAAGCAGUUUCAGAUGGGUUCUUUCUGCUUUUCAUCAUAGCCCUCAGUGGGCUUCGAAAUGUCUAUUCACAGACUCUAAAAAAAAGUGUUUUCAGCCUGCUAAUCAAAAGAAAUGUACAAGUUUGUGAGCUGAGUCCACACAUCACAGGUAGAUUCUUCCUAGUUGUUUUCAUUGGAUAUUUGGUUUUUCACUAUAGGCCUCAGUGGCCUUCAAAGUGUCCCUUCGCAGAUUUGAAAAUAAGACUGUUUCCAACCUGCUGAAUGAAAAGAAAGGUUUAACUCUGUGUGCUGAAUCCACACAUCACUAAUCAAUUUCACAGAUAGCUUCUUUUUAGUUUUUAUCACGGGAUAUUCUAUUUUUCAACAUAGUACUCAGUGGACUUUGAAAUGCCUCUUUGCAGCUUCUACAAAAAGAGUGUUUCCAACCUGCUAAAUAAAAAAAAAAAAAAGAUUUACCUCUGUGAGCUGAAUCCAUACAGGACAAAGCAGUUUAACAGAUAGGCUCUAUCUAGUUUUUAUCAUAAGAUAUUCAAGUUUUCGAUAUAGGACAUAGUAGGCUGCAAAAUGUCCCUUUACAGAUUCUACAAAAAGAGUGUUUACAACCUGCUGAAUCAAAAGGCAGGUUUAACUCUGAGAGUUGAACCCAGACCUCUCAAAGCAGUGUUACAGAUAGCUUCUUUCUGGUUUUUAUAAUAGGAUUUUUUGUUUUUAUCUAUAGGCCUUGGCGGGCUAAGAAAUGUUCCUUCACAGAUCCUACAAAAGUAGUAUUUCCAACAUGCUGAAUGAAAAGAAAGGUUUAACUCUGUGAACUGAAUGCAAACAUCACAAAGUUUCACAGAUAGCUUCUUUCUAAUUUUAAUUAUGAGCUUUUCAGUUUUUCACUGUAGGACUGUUUGCUCUGAAAUGUCAAUAUGCUAAUUCUAAAGAAAGAGUGUUUACAACCUGCUGAAUGAAAAGAAUGGGUUAAUUCUGUUAGCUGAGCCCACACAUCACAAAGCAGCUUCACACAUAGCUUCCUUCUAGUUUUAAUCGCAGGGUAUUCAGUUUUCACUAUAGGCCUCAGUGGGCUCUGAAAUGUCCCUUCCCAGAUUAUUCAAAAAGAAUGUUUACAACCUGCUUAACCAAAAUAAAGGUUAACUCUGUGAGUUGAAUCCACAUAUCACAAAGCAGUUUCACAGUAGUUUCUUCAAAGUUUUUAUCAUGGGAUAUCCAUUUAUUUACUAUAGGCCUCAGGGAGCUCUGAAAUGUCCCUUCACAUAUUCUACAAAAAGUGUGUUUCCAAUCUGGAGAAUCAAAAGAAAGGUUUAACUUUGUGAGCUGAAUCCACACAUCACAAAGCAGUUUCACAGAUAGCUUCUUUCUACUGUUUAUCUUGAAAUAUUCAGAUUUUCAACAUAGCCCUCAGUGGGCUUCAAAAUGUCUUUUUGCAGAUUCUAAGAAAAUAAUGUUCCACUCUGCUAAAUAAAAAAAAAAAAUACAAAUUUGUCAGCUGAAUCCACACAUCACAAAGUAGUUUCACAGAUAGCUUCUUUCAAGUUUUUUUUUUCCACAGGAUAUUCAGGUUUUCACUACAGGCCUCAGUGCCCUGUGAAGUGUCCCUUUGCAAAUUCGAAAACAAGAGUGUUUACAACCUGCUGAAUGAGAAGAAAUAUUUAAGUCUGUGAGCUGAUUGCACACAUCAAAAAGAAGUUUCACAGAUAGCUACUUUCUAGUUUUUAUUGUGGGAUAUUCCAUUUUCCAUAUAGCCCUCAGUGGACUUUGAAAUAUCUUGUUGCAGCUUUUACAAAAAGAGUGUUUACAACCUGCUAAAUACAAAGAAAGUUGUACCUCUGUGAGCUAAAUCCACACAUUACAAAGCAGUUUAACAGACAGUUUUGGUCUGGUUUUUGUCACGGGAUUUUCAGUUUUUCACUAUAGGACUCAGAGGGAUUUGAAUUGUCCCUUUGCAGAUUCUGCAGAAAGAGUGUUUACAACCUGCUGAAUUGAAAGAUAGGUUUACCUCUGUGAGUUGAACCUGCACCUGACAAAGCAGUUCCAUAGAUAGCUUCUUUCUAGUUUUUAUCACAAGAUUUUCAGUUUUUAACUGUAGACCUCUUUGUGCUAAGAAAUAUCCAUUCACAGAUUGCACAAAGAGACUGUUUCCAUCCUGCUGAAUCAAAAGAAAAGUUUAACACUGUGAACUGAAUGCACACAUCACAAGUUUUCACAGAUAGGUUCUUUCCAGUUUUUAUCAUGGGAUUUUUUGUUUUUUCACUAUAGGACUCAGUUUGCUCCAAAAUGUAAAUUUGCAGAUUUUACAAAAGGUGUGUUUACAACCUGCUAAAUCAAAAGAAAGGUUUAACUCUGUUAGGUAAACCCACAAACCACAAAGUAGUUUUAGAGACAGCUUCCUUCUAGUUUUUACUGCGGGGUAUUUUGUUUUCACUGUAGGCCUCUGUGGGCUCCAAAAUAUUCCUUCCCAGAUUCUACAAAAAGAGUUUUUACAAGUUGCUGAGUCAAAAGAAAGGUUUAACUCUGUAAGUUGAAUCUACACCUCACAAAGCAGUUUCACAGAUAGCUUCUUUCUAGUUUUAUCAUGGGAUAUUCGUUUUUUCACUAUACUCCUUAGUGGGCUCUGAAAUGUCCCUUCCAAGAUACUAAGAGGGUUUCCAACCUACUGAAUCAAAAGAAAGGUUUAGCUCUGUGACCUGAAUCCACUGAUCACUAAGCAGUUUCACAUAUAGCUUCUUUCUAGUUUUUAUCAUGGGGUAUUUUGUCUUUUACUAUAGGCCGCAGAUGGCUCCAAAUGUCCCUUGGAAGAUUCUACAAAAAACAGUGUUUACAAUCUACUGAAUCAAAAAAAAAAAAAAGUUUAGCUUUGUGUGCACGAUCUACACAUCAUAAAGCAGUUUUACAGAUAAAUUCUUUCUACUUUUUAUUGUGACAUAUUCCGUUUUUCACUAAAGGCCUCAGUCGGCUCUGAAAUGCAUACUCACAGAUUCCACUAAAAGAGUGAUUCAACCUGCUGAAUCAAAAACAAUGUAACUCUGUGAACUGAAUCCAAAUAUCACAAAACUGUUUAACAGAUAGUUUCUUUCCAGUUAUUAUCACGGGAUGUUCUGUUUUUCACUAAAGGUGUCAGUGUUCUCCAAAAUGUCUAUUCGCAGAUUCUACAAAUAAAGUGUUUCAAGCUGCUGAAUCAAAAGAAAGUUUUAACUCUGUGAAAUGAAUUCACACAUCACAAAGCAGUUUCACAGAUAGCUUCCUUCUAGUUUAUAUCACGGGAUAUUCUGUUUUUCACUAUAGGCUUCAAACGUCUCCAAAAUGUCCCCUCGCAGAUUCUACCGGUAGAGUGUUUCUAAUCUACUGAAUCCAAAGACAGGUUUAACUCUGUUCGCUGAAUGCACACAUCAGGAAGCAGUUUCACAGAGAGCUUCCUUCUAGUUUUUAUGAUGGCAUAUUCAGUUUUUACUACAGGUCUCAGUGGGCUCCAAAGCAGUUUCUGUAAAAAAAGCUCUUCCAACCUUCUGAACAAAAGAAAGAUUUAACUCUUUGAACUGUACAAUCACAUCACAGGGGAGUUUUGCAAAUAGCUUCUUUCUAGUUUAUAUCACAAGAUAUUCUGUUUUCACUAUAGGUUUCAGUAGGCUCAGAAAUGUCCAUUCACAGAUUCUACAAAAAGAGUGUUUCUAAUGUGCUGAAUCUAAAGAAAAGUUUUUCUGUGAGCAGAACUUACACAUCACAAGGCAGUUUCAAGAUAGCUUCUUUCUAUUAAUUAUAGCAGAAUAUUCAGUUUUUCACUAUUAGGCCAAAUUGAGUUCUGAAAUGUACCUUUGCAGAUACUGUCAGAAGAGGGUUUCCAACCUGCUGAAUCAAAAGAAAGAUUUAACUCUACGAGCUGAAUCCACACAUAACAAAGCAGUUUCACAGAUAGCUUCAUUCUAGUUUUUAUUGCAGGGUAUUCAGGUUUUCUGUAUAGGCUCCAGUGCACUCUGAAAUCUUCCUUUGCUGAUUUUACAAAAAGAGUGUUUUCAACCUGGUACAUCAAAAGAAAGUUUUAACACUGUCAAGUGAAUGUACACAUCCCAAAACAGUUUCAAAAUUAGCUUCUUUCUGUUUUUUUGUUUUUAAAUGGAUAUGUGGUUUCUCCUUAUAGGCCUCAGUCAGAUGCAAAAUGUCCUUUUGCAGAUUCUACAAAGAGAGUGUUUCCAAACUCCUUAAUCAGGAGAAAGGUUUAACUCACUGAGUUGAAAGCACACAUCACAAAGCGGUUUCACAGAAAGUUUCUUUAUAAUUUUUAUAGUGGGAUAAUAUGUUUUCCACUAUAGGCCUCAGUUUACUCUGAAAUGUCCAUUGGCAGAGUCUACAAAAACUUUGUUUUCAACUUGCUGAAUCAAAAAGAAGUUCUAACUUUGUUAGCUUAAUACACACAUACCAAAUCAGCUUCACAGAUAGUUUCUUUCUAGUUUUAUGAUGGUAUAUUCAGUUUUUCACUAUAGUACUCAGCUUGCUCUGAAAUGCCCUUUACCAGAUUCUACAAAAAAAAGAAAGAGGGUUCCCUACCUGUUGUAUCAAAUGAUAGGUUUAACUCUGUGAGCUGAAUCCACACAUCUCAAAGCACUUUCACAAAUAGCUUCUUUCUUGUUUCUAUCACAGGAUAUACAGUUUUUCACUAUUGGUCUCAGGGGUGUCUGAAAUGUCUUUUCACAGAUUUUACAAGAAGAAUGUUUUCCACCUGCUGAAAUGAAAGAAAUUUUGAACUCUGUGAGCUAAAUGCACACAUCACAAAGCAGUUUCCAAGAUAAAUUUUUUUUUCUAGUUUUUAUCACGGGAUAAUCAGUUUUUCACUAUAGGACUCAGUAGGCUGUGAAAUAUAGUUUUGCAAAUUCUACCAAAAGAGUGUUCUAACCUGCUGAAUGAAAAGAAUAGUUUAACUCUCCGAGCUGAAUCCACACAUCACAAAGCAGUUUCACAGGUAACUUCUUUCUAGCUUUUAUCACAGAAUAUUUGGUUUUUCACGAUAGGUGUGAGUGGGCUCUGAAAUGUCCCAUCACAGACUCUACAAAUAGAGUGUUUCCAAUGCACUGAAUCCAAAAAAAGGUUUCAAUCUGUGAGGUAAAUCUUCACAUCACAAAACGGUUUCACAGAUAGCUUCUUUCUCGAUUUUAUCAUAGAAUAUUGUUUUUCAUUACUCAUCUCAGGGGGUCUGAAAUGUCCACUCACACAUUACAUAAAAAGAGUUUUUCCCAUCUGCUGAAUCAAAAGAAAAAUUUAACUUUGUGAGAGGAAUGCACACAUCACAAAGCAGUUUCACAGAUAGCUUCUUUCUAGUUAUCAUGGGAUAUUCAUUUUUUCACUAUUGGACUCAGUGGGCUCUGAAAUGUCCCCAUGUAGAUGCUACAAGAAGAGUAUUUUUAACCUACUAAAUCAGAAGAAAGGUUUAAUGUGUGAGCUGAAUACACACAUCACAAAUCAGCUUAACUGAAGCUUCUUACUAUUUUUUGUUCAAGGAUAUUCAGUUUUUCUUCAUAGGCCUCAGUGGGUUCCAAAAUAUUCCAUUGCAGACUCUACAAAAAGAGUAGUUCCAGCCUUCUGAAUCGAGGGAAAGUUUUAAUUCUGUGAGCUCAAUCCAAAUGUUACAAAGCAGUUUCACAGAUGAUAGCUUAUUUCUAGUUUUUAUUGUCAGAUAGUCAAUUUUUUAUAAUAGGUCUCAGUGGGCUCUGAAAUGUCCCUUUGUAGCUUCUACAAAAAGAGUGUUUCCUACCUGCUGAAACAAUGGAAAUAUUUCCAAUCUGCUGAAUUUAAAGAGAGGUUUAACUCUGUGAGCUGAAUAUACACACCACAAUGCUGUUUGAAAGAUAGUUUUUCUUCAUGGGAUAUUCAAUUUUUCAAUAUUAACCUCUGUUUUUUUCUGAAAUGUCCCUUCACAGUAUCUCCUUAAAGAGUAUUUCCAACUUGCUGAAUGAAAAGAAAGGUUUAACUCUGUUAGCUCUAUCCACACAUCACAAAGCAGUUUCACAGACACCUUCUUUCUAGUUUUUAUUGAGAUAUUUUAUCUUUCAUUUUAGGGCUCAGUGGGCUUUGAAAUGUCCCUUCACACUUUCUACAAAAAGAGUGUUUCCAACCUGUUGAAUCAAAAGAAAAGUUAUACUCUGAGCUAAAUGCACACACCACAAAGAAAUCUCAUCAAUCGCUUCUUUCUAGUUUUUUUCAUGGGAUGUUCAGUUUUCAAUAUAGGACUCAGUAGGCUGCAAAAUGUCCCUUCACAGAUCCUACAAAAUCAGUGGUUCCAAUUUACUAAAUAAAAUAAAAGUUUAACUCUGUUAGUUGUUUUUAUGCAUCAAAAAGUAAUAAAACAGAUAGCUUAAUUCUAGUUUUUAUCAUGGGUUAUACCAUUUUUUAUUAUAGGUCUCAGUGAGCUCCAAAAUGUAACUUCACUGAUUCUACAAAAAGAGUGUUUCCAACCUAUUGAAUCAAAACAAAUUUUAACUCUGUGAGCUGAAUCCACACAUCUCUAAGCAGUUUCACAGAUAGCGUCUUUCUCGUUUUAAUCAAGGGAUAUUCAAUUUUCACUGUAGGCCUCAUUGGGUUCUGAAAUGACCCUUCACAGAUUCUAAAAAAGAGUGUUUCCAAACUGAUGAAUCAAAAGAAACGUUUAACUCUGAAUUUAAGAAAAUUGUGAACUCUGUGAGCUGAGUGCACACAUCACAAAACGGUUUCACAAAUAAAUUCUGUCUAGUUUUUAUCAUGGGAUAUUUGGUUAUUCAGUAUAGGCUUCAAAGGACUCGGAAAUGUCCCUUCACAUUUUCUGCAAAAAAAGGUUUCCAACCUACUUCUUCGAAGGAAACAUUUAACUCUGUGAGCUGAAUCCUCACAUCACAAAGCAGUUUAACAGAUAGUUUCUUUCUAGUUUUUAUUAUAAGAUAUUCGUUUUUUCACUAUAACCUCAAUGAGCUCUGAAAUAUCCUUUUGGAGAUUAUAUAAAAAGAGUGCUGCCAACAUCCUGAGUCAAAAGAAAGUUUUAACACAGUGAACUGAAUCCACACAUCACAAACAAAUUUCACAAUAGCUUGCUUUAGUUUUCUCCAAUAUAUUCAGUUUUUCACUAUAGGUGUAAGUGGGCUCUGAAAUAAAUCUACAAAAUGAUUGCUUCAACUAGCUGAAUAAUAAAAAAAAAGUUUUAAUUCUGUGAGCUGAAACCACACAUCACAAAGCAGUUUCACAGAUAGAUUCUUUCCAGUUUUCAUUGAGGAAUACUCUGCUUUUCAUGUAAGAACUCAGUGAGGUCCCAAAUGUUCCUUCACAGUUUCUACAAAAAGAGUGCCUUUUUAUCACUAUAGGCAACAUUGGGCACUGAAAUGUGCCAUUGCAGAUUGAACAAAAAGAGUGUUUCCAACCUGCUGAAUCAAAAGAAAGGUUUAAAUCUGUGAGAUAAAUCCACACAUCACUAAGUGGUUUCAGAGAUAGCAUCUUUCUAGUUUUUUAACUAGGGCUAUUAAUUUUUUCACUAUAGGCCUCAAUGGGCUCCAAAAGUCCCUUCGCAGAUUCUACAAAACGAGUGUUUCCAAACUGCUGAAUCAAAAGAAAGGUUUAACUUUGUGAGAUGAAUCCACACGUUACAAAGUAGUAUUACAUGUAGCUUCUUUCUAAUUUUUAUUUUGGGAUAUUCAGUUUUUCACUACAGUCCUCAAUCGGCUUCAAAAUGUCUCUUCACAUAUUCUACAAAAAGAGUGUUUUUAAACAGCAGAAUCAAAACAAAGGUUUAACCCUGUGAGCUUAAUCCAUCCAUCACAAAGUAGUUUCACAGAGAGCUUAUUUUGACUUUUAAUCUUGGGAUAUGCUGUUUUUCACUAUCAGCUUCAGUCGGCUAUGAAAUGUCUUUUCGCAGAUUCAACAAAAAAAGUGUUUUCACCCUGCUGGAAAAAAAGAAAGCUUUAAAUCUGUGAGCUGAGUGUACAAUUCAUAAAGCAGUUUCACAGAUAUCAUCUUUCUUGUUUUUAUUGUGAGAUAUUCAGUUUUUCACUAUAGGCCACAGAUUUUAUCAAAAGAGUGUCUCCAACCAGCUAAAUCAAAAUAAACGUUUAACUCUGUGAGCUGAAUUCACACACCACAAAGCAAUUUCACAAACAGAUUCUUUUUAGUUUUUAUUGUGGGAUAUUUGUUUUUUCACUAUAGGCCUCAGUGUGCUUUGAAAUGUUCCUGUGCAGAUUGUACAAAAAGAGCAUUUCAAACCUUCUGAAUCAAUGGUAUGGUUUAAGUCUGUGAGCUGAAUCCAGGCAUCACAAAGUAGUUUCACACAUGGUUUCAUCAAAAGUUUUGUCAUAGGCUAUACAGUUUUUCACUAUAAGCCUCAGUGGGCUCCAAAAUAUCCAUUUGCAGAUUCUACAAAAAAAGCGUUUCCAACCUGCUGAAUCAAAAGCAAGGAUUAACUGUGAGCUGAAUUCACACAACAAAAAAUAAUUUCACAGAUAACUUCUUUCUAGUUUGUAUUGCAAGAUAUUCACUGUUUCACAAUAGGCAUUAGUGGCCUCUGAAAUGUCCCUUCACAGACCUACAAAAAGAGUGUUUCCAAAAUAAUGAAUCAAAAGAAAGGUUUAAGUCUGUGAGGUGAAUACAGACAUCAAAAAGAAAUUUCACCUAUAGAUUCAUUCUAGUUUUUAUCUCACAAUGUUAGUUUUUUUAGUAAAUGUGUCAGUGGGCUCAGAAAUGUCCCCUCAUAGAUUCUACAGAAAGAGUGUUUCCAACCUGCUGAAUCAAAAAACGGUUUAUAUCUGUGAUCUGAAUGUACACAUCACAAAGGAGUUUCACAGAUAGCUUCUUUCUAGCUUUUGUUGAUGGAAAUUCUUUUCUUCAAUAUAGGCAUCAGUGGGCUCCAAAAUAUUUCUUCACAGAUUUUUCAAAAAGAGUGCUUCCAAUUUGCUGAAACAAAAGAAAUGUUUAACUCUGUGAGCUGAAUCCACACAUUACAAAGCAGUUUCACAGAUAGCUUUUUUCUAGUUCUUAUCAUGGAUAUUCAGUUUUUCAAUAAAGGUGUCAUUGGGCUUUGAAAUAUUUCUUCACAAACUUACAAAAAGGGUGUUUCCAACUUGCUGAAACAAAAGAAACGUUGAACUCUGAACUGAAUCCACACAUCAAAAAGCAGUUUCACAGAUAACUUCUUUCUAAUUUUUAUCUCGGGAUAUUCGUUUUUUUACUACAGGCCUCAGUAGCCUCCCAAAUGUCUAUUCACAGAUUUGACAAAAAACUGUUUCCAAUCUGCUGAUUCAAAAAACAGAUUUAACUCCGUGAACUGAAUGCACACAUCACAAAGCAGUUUCACAGAGAACUUCUUUCCAGUUUUUAUCUCAAGAUACACGAUUUUUCACUAUAUGGUUAACUGGGCACCAAAAUGUCCCAUAGUAGAUUCUACAAUAAGCCUUCUUCCAACUUCUUAAUUAAAAGAAAUCUUCAACACAGUGAGCUAAAUCUACACACCACAAAGUAGAUUCACAGAUAGUUUUUUCUAGUUUUUUAUCAUGGGAUAUUUCAGGUUUUCACUAUAGGACUAAGUCAUCUCCAAAAUAUCCAUUUGCAGAUUCUAAAAAAAGAGUAUUUCAAACCUGCUGAAUCAAAAGAAGGUUUUAACUCUGUGACUUUACUCCACACAUUACAAAGCAGUUUCACAGACAGCUUAUUUCAAGUUUUUAUCCUGUUGGCUCUAAAAUGUCCUUUCAGAGAUUCUACAAAAAGAGUGUUUCAAACCUGCUUAAUCAAAAGAAAGAUUAAACUCUGUGAACUGAAUGUACACAUCACAAAGCAGUUUCACAGAUAGGUUCUUUCAACUUUUUAUUGUGGGAUGAUCAGUUCUGCAUCAUAGGCCUCACUUUGCUCUGAAAUGAUCCUUUGUAGAUUCUACAAAUGAGUGUAUUAAACCUGGUGAAUCAAAAGUAAAGUUUAACACUGUGAGCAGAAUACACACAUCAGAAAGCAGUUUCACAAUCAGCUUCUUUCUAGUUUUUAUCACGGGAUAUUCUUUUUUUCACUUUUGGACUCAGUGGGCUAUGAAGUGGUUCUUUGGAGAUUCUACAAAAAGAGAGUCUACAGCCUCCUUAAUCAAAAGAUAGGUUUUACUCUGAGUGGAAGGCACACAUCACAAUGCAGUUUCACAGAUCAUUUCUUUCUAGUUUUUAUUGCGUGAUUUUUGGUUUUUCACUUUUGAACUCAAUUGGCUUUGAAAUGCCUCUUCACAGAUACUGCAAAAAAAAGUUUUCAACAUGCUGAAUCAAAAGAAAAGGUUAACUCAGUGAGCAGAAUCCAGACAUCACAAAGCAAUUUCACAUAUGGCUUCUUUCUAGUUUUUAUUGCAAGAUAUUCAGUUUUUGACAUUUGAACCCAGUGGGCCCUGAAAUGUCCCUUUGCUGAUACUGCAAAGAGUGUUUCCAAUCUGCUGAAUCAAGAAAAAGCUUUAACUCUCUGAAAUGAAUACACACAUCACAAAGAAGUUUCACAGAUAGCUUCUUUCUAGUUUUUAUUGUGGGAUAUUCUGUUUUUCACUAAGGGCCUCAUUUAGGUACAAAAUGUCCCAUCUCAGAUGCUACAAAUACAGUGUUUCCAACCUGCUGAAUCAAAAGACAGGCUUUAUUCUGUGAUCUGAAUCCACACAACAAAAGCAGUCUGACUGAUAGCUUCUUUUUAGUUUUAGUCACAGAACAUUCAAUUUUUCACUGUAAGCCUCAGUGGGCUCCAAAAUGUUCCCUCACAGAUUCUACAAAAAGAGUUUUUCCAACCAGCUGAAUCAAAAGAAAGGUUUAACCCUGUGAGCUGAAUGCACAUAUCACAAAGCAGUUUCUCAGAGAGAUUUUUUCUAGUUUUUAUGGUGGGAUAUUCAGUUUCAAACUUUAGGCUUCAGUGGCCUUCGGAAUGUCCCUUUGCAGAUUCUACAAAAAGAUUCAUUCCUACCUGGAAAAUCAGAAGAAAGUAUUAACUCUGUGUGCUGAAUCCUCACAUCACAAGCAGUUUAACAGAUUUUUCUUUCUAGUAUUUAUCACAGGAUAUUCAAUUUCUCACUAUUGGCCUCAGUGGGCUCCAAAAUGUCCCUUUGCAGAUUCUACAAAAAUAGUGUUUCCUACCUGCUGAAUCAAAAGAAAGGAUUAACUCUGUGAUCUGAAUGCACACAUGACAAAGCAGUUUCACAGAGAGAUUCAUUCUAGUUUUUAUCAUGGGAUAUUCAGUUUUUCUCAAUAGGCCUCAGUGGGCUCUGAAAUGUCCGUUCACAGAUUCUAAAAAAAAAAAGGGUUUCUAACCUGCUGAAUAAAAAGAAAUGUUUAACUCUGUGAGUGAAAUGCACGUAUCACAAAACAGUUUCCCAGAUAAUUUUUUUCUAGUUUUUAUCAUGGGAUAUUCAGUUUUACACUGUAGGCUUCAGUGGCCUCCAAAAUGUCCCUUUGCAGAUUCUAAAAAAAAAGUGCCUCCAACCUGCUAAAUCAAAGGAAUGAUUUAACUCUUUGAACUUAAUCCAUGCUUCAUAAUGCAGUUACACAGACAGCUUCUUUCUAGUAUUUAUCAUGGAAUAUUCAGUUUUUCACUACAGGCUGCAGUGGGCUCAAAAAUGUCCCUUCACAUAAGCUACAAUAAGAGUGUUUCCAACCUACUGAAUCAAAAGAAGCUUAACUCUUUGAGUUGAAUCCACAUAUGACAAAGCAGUUUCUCAGAUAGCUUCUUUCUAGUUUUAUGCAGGGAAUAUUUUGUUUUUCACUAUAGGCCUCAGUGGGCACCAAAUGUCUCUUCGCAAAUGCUUCAAAAAAAAGUUUUCCAAACCUUCUGAGUGAAAAGAGAGGUUUAAAUUUGGUACCUGAAUCCUCUCAUCAAAAAGCAGUUUCAUGGAUACUUUCUUUCUAGUUUUUAUCAUGGAGUAUUCAGUUUUUCAUAAUAGGUCUUAGUGGGCUCUGAAAUAUUCCUUCUCAGAUUCUACAAAGAGAAUGUUUUCAACCUGUGGAAUCAAAACAAAAGUUUAACUCUGAGAGCUGAAUCCACACUAAACAAAGCAGAUUCACACAGAGAUUCUUUCUAGUUUUGAUUGGGAGAUAUUCAGUUUUUUACUUUAGCCCUCAGUUUGCUCUGAAAUAUCCCUUCACUUAUUGUACAAAAAGAGUGCUUCCAACCUGCCGUGUCAAAGUAAAGCUUAAUUCUGUGAGCUGAAUCCACAGAGCACAAAGCAAUUUCACAGAUAGCUUCUUUCUAGUUUAUAUUGGGGGAUAUUCUGUUUUUCACUCUUGGCCUUAUGGGGAUCAGAAAUGUUGCUUUGCAGAUUCUACAAAAGAGUGUAUGCAACCUGCUGAAUUAUAAGAAAGGUUUAACUCUGUAAACUGAAUACACACAUCAAAAAUCCGUUACACAGAUAGCUUCUCUCUAGUUUUUGUGACAGUUUAUUCUGUUUCUCACUGCAGGCUUCACUGAACUGCAAAAUGUCCCUUUGUAGAUUCUAAAAAAUAGACUGUUUCCAACCUGCUGAAUAAAAAGAAAGUUUUAAGCCUGGGAGCUGAAUCCACCUACCACAAAGCAGUUUUUCAGGCAGCUUCUUUCUAGUGGUUAUUGCAGGAUAUUCAGUUUUAAACUAUAGUCCUCAGUGGGCUCUGAAAUGCCUUUACCUAGAUUCUCCAAAAAGAAUGUUUCCAACCUGCUGAAUCACAGAAAGAAUUUAACUCUGUGAGUGAAAUGCACAUGUCACAAAGCAGUUUCACAGAUAGCUUCUUUCUAGUUUUUAGUGUGGGAUUUUCAGUUUUUCACUAUAGGCCUCAGUGCGCUCCAAAAUGUUAAUUCACAGAUUCUACAAAAAGAGCGUUUCCAACCUGCUGAAUAAAAAGAAAUGUUUAUCAUUUUGAACUGAAUUUACAGAUCACAAAGCAGUUUCACAGAUAGCUUCUUUCUAGAUUUUAUCAUGGGAUAUUCUGUUUCCCAUGAUAGGUCACAUUGGGCUCCAAAAUGUAGCUUUGCAGAUUCUACAAAAUGAGUUUUUCCAACCUGGUGAAUAAAAGGAAAAUUUCAAUUCUGUAAGCUGAAUGUCUACAUAACAAAGCAUUUCACAGAUACAUUCUUUCUAGUGUUUAUCACAGAAUAUUGUGUUUGUCAUUAUAGACUUCUGCUUGCUCUGAAAUAUCCCUUUGCAGAUUCUAUAAAAAGAAUUAUUCCAGCCUUCUAAAUCAACAGAAAAGUUUAUCUCUGUGAGCUGAAUCCAUACAUCACAAAUUAGAUGAACAGAUGACUUCUUUCUAUUUAUUAUUGUGGAAUAUUCAAUUUUUCAUUACAGGCCUCAGUGGGAUCAGAAAUGUCCCUUUGAAGAUUGUACAAAAAGAAUCUUUCCACUGGUGAAUCCAAAGAAAGUUUUAACUCUUUGAGCCGAAUGCAUACGUCACAAAAAAGUUUCACAGAUACCUUCUUUCUAGUUUUUAAUCAUGGAAUAUUUGGUUGUUCACUUUAGGACUAGUGUUUCUGAAAUGUCCCUUUGCAGGUUCUACAAAUGUGUGUUUCCAAUGAUCUGAAUCCAAAGUAAGACUUAACUCUGUGAGCUGAAGGCUCACAUCACAAGCCACUUCACAGAUAGCUUCUUUCUAGUUUUUAUCACAAGAUAUUCUUUUAUUCACCAUAGGCCUUAGUGGACUCAGUAAUGUCCCUUCACAGAUUCUCCAAAAAGAGUGUUUCCAACCUGCUGAAUCACAAGAAAGGUUUACCUCUGUAAGCUGAAUCCACACAUCACAAAGAAAUUUCACACAUAGCUUCUUUCUACUUUUUAUCAUCGUAUAUUCAGUUUCUCACUGUAGGCUUCAGUGGGCUGAGAAAUACUUCUUCACAGAUUCUAAAAAAAAAAGAAUAUUUCCAACCUGCUGAAACAAAAAUGGUUCACAUUUGUGAGCUGAAUGCAACAUUACAAGGGAGUUUCACAGAUCUCUUCCUUCUAGUGUUUAUUGCAGAAUAUUCUUUUUGUCACUAUUGGGUUCUAUUUGCUUUGAAAUGUCCCUUUUCAGAUUCUACAAAAACAGUGAUUCCAACCUUCUAAAUCAAUAGAAAUGUUUAACUCGGUGAGCCAAAUCCACACAUCACAAAUUAGAUGCACAGAUGGCUGCUUUCUAUUUGUUAUUGCGGAAUAUUCAUUUUUUCACUACUGGCCUCAGUAGGCUCUGAAAUGUCCCUUCAUAGAUUCUACAAAAAGCAUGUUUCCAAUCUGCUGAAUCAAAAGAAAGGUUUAACUUUGUGAGCUGAAUGCAUAUCUCACAAAGAAGUUUCUCAGAUAGUUUCUUUCUAGUUUUUAUCAUGCAAUAUUUAGUUUUUCAUUCUAGCCCUCAGUGAGCUUCAAAAUGACCCAUGGCUGAUUCUACAAGAGUGCUUUCAACCUGCUGAAUCAAAAGAAAAGUUUUACUCUGUGAGCUGAAUGCAAAUGUCAUAAAACAGUUUCACAGAUAUCUUCUUUCUAUUUUUUAUCAGGGGAUAGUCUGUUUUUUUACCAUAGGUUUCAGUGGGCUCCUAAAUGUCUCUUCACAGUUUCUACAAUAAAAGAGUUUCCAUUGUGCUGCAUAAAAAGUGAUGUUUAACUCUGUGAACUGCAUCCACACAUCACAAAGCAGUUUCACAGAAAGCUUCUUUUUAGUUUUUAAUAGCGGGAUAUUUGGAUUUUCUGUAAAAUCCUCAGUGUUCACCAAAAUGUCCCUUCACAGUUCUACAUAAAGAGUGUCUCCAACCUUCUAAAUGAAAAGAAAAGUUUCACUGUUGUAGCUGAAUUCACACAUCACAAAGCAUUUUCACAGAUAUCUUCAUUCAAGUAUUUAUCAUGAAAUAUUAAGUUUUUCACUGUAGGCCUCAGUAGUCUCCAAAACGUUUCCUUGAAUAUCCUAGAAAUAGAGUGUUACCAACCUGCUGAAUAAAAAGGAACAUUUAACUCUAUGAGCUGAAUCCACACAUUACAAUGCAAUUUCACAGAUAGAUUCUUUAUAGUUUUUUUUUCCCCCUCAGGUAUAACGUUUUACACCGUAGACCUCAGUGGGCUGUGAAAUGUCCCUUUCCAGACACUACAAAAAGAGUUCUUCCAACAUUCUGAAUCAAAUAUUUCAAAAGAAAUAUUAAACUCUGAGAGCUAAAUCCAUGCACCACAAAGCAAUUUCACAGAUAGCUUUGUUCUAGUUUUGUGUGUGUGUUUUGGCGGGGGGGGGGGGGGAUAUUCAAUUUUUCACUAUAGGCCUCAGUAGGCUUAGUAAUGUCCCUUCACAGGUUCUACAAAAAGAGUAUUUCCAACCUGUUGAAUAAAAGAAAGGCUUAACAGUGAACUGAAUGUACAUGUCAAAAAGGAGUUUCACAGGUAGCUUAUUUCUCAUUUUUAUUAUGGGAUAUUCCAUUAUUCUUUGUAGACCUCAGUGGGCUCCAAAAUGUCCCUUUGCAGAUUCCACAAAAGGAGUUUUUCCAACCUACUUAGUGAAAAGAAAAGUUUAACUCUGUCAGCUGAAUGCAUACAUCACACCAAAGUUUCUUGUAUAGCUUCUUUCUAGUUUUUAUCAUAGAAUAUUUGGUUUUUAACUAUAGGCUUCAGUGGGCUCUGAAAUGAAUCAUGGAUUCUAAUAAAAGAGUGUUUAAAACCUGUAGAAUCAAAGGAAUGGUUUAACUUUGUGAGCCGAAUGCACCCCUCACAAAAAAAGUUUCACAGACAGCUUCUUUCUAGUUUUUAUCACAAAAAUUUGUUUUUUCACUGUAGGCCUAGCGGGCUCUGAAAUGUCAAUUUGCAGGUCCUACAGAAAGGUGUUUCCAACCUGCUGAAUCAAAAGAAACAUUUAACUCUGUGAGCUGAUGGCACACAUCACAAGCAGUUUCACAGAUAGCUUUUUUCAAGUUUCUAUCAUGAGAAAUUCUGUUUUUCAAUAUAGGCUUUAGUGGGCUCAGAAAUGUCCCUCCGUAAAUUCUACAAAAGAGUGUUUCUAAGUUGCUGAAUCAUAAGAAAGGUUUAACUCUAUUAGCUGAAUCUACAUAUCACAAAGGGGUUUCACAGAUAGCUUCUUUCCAGUUCACAUCAGGAGAUUUUUUUUUCCCUAUAGGUCCCAGUGGGCUCCAAAAUGUCUCUUCACAGAUUCUAGUAAAAGAGUGUUUCCAAUUUUUUGAAUCAAGAGAAAGGAUUAACUCUGUGAGAUGAAUGCACACGUCAUGAAAAUGUUUCACAGAAAGUUUUUUUCUAGUUUUUAUUGCAGGAUAUUCAGUUUUUCACUAUAGCCUCUGUAGGCUUUGAAAUGACCCUUUACAGAUUUACAAAAAAACUGUUUCAAACCUGAUGAAUCAUAAGAAAAGUUUACCUCUGUGAGCUGAAUCCACAUAUCAGAAAGCACAUUCACAGAUACCUUCUUUCUACUUUUUAUCGUGGGAUAUUUGGUUUUUCACUAUAAGCUUCAGUGUGCACUGAAAUGUUUAUUCACAUAUUCUAUAAAAUGUGCUUACAACCUGCUGAAUCAAAAGAAAGGCUUAACUCUCUGAGCUGAAUCCACAUACCACAAAGUAGUUUCAUAUAUAGCUUCUUUCUAGUUUUUAUUGUGCGAUAUUCAUUUUUUUACUAUAUGCCUCGGUAGGUUCAGAAAUGUUUCUUGGCAGACUUUACAAAAACAGUUUUUUCAAGUUGCUAAAUCAAAAGAAAGUUUUAAAUCUGUAAGUUGAAUGCACACAUGGAAAGCAGUUGCACAGAUAGCCUCUAUUUUAUCGCAGUAUAUUCCAUGUUUUACUAUAGGCCUCCAUGGUCUAAGAAAUGUCCCUUCCCAGAGUCUACAGAAAGAGUGUUUCCAACCAACUAAAUAAAAGGAAAGAUAUAACUCAGUCAGCUGAAUGGACACAUCACAAAGGAGUUUCACAGAUAUUUUCUUUCUAGUUUUUAUCAUGGGAUAUUCUGUUUCUCAUUAUAGGACUCAGUGAACACCAAAAUGUCCCUUUGCAGAUUCCUCAAAAAGAGUUUUAAAACCUGCUGAAGUGAAAAAAAUUUAAUUCUGUGAGACGAAUGCACACAUCACAAAGCAGUUUCACAGAUAGCUUCUUUCUAGUUUUUAUCACGGAAUAUUAGGUUUUUCACUACAGGCCUCUGUGGGCUCAGAAAAGACCCUUCCCAGGUACUAAGAAAAGAGUGUUGAAACCUGCUGUGUCAAAGGAAAGGUUUAACUUGAUAAGCUGAAUCCAUACCUCACAAAGGAGAUUCAUAAAUAGCUUCUUUCUAGUUUUAUCACGAGAUUUUCAGUUUUUCACUACAGGCCUCAGUGGGCUCUGAAAUGUCCCUUUGCAGAUUAUACAAAAAGAGGGUUUCCCACAGGCUGAAUCAAAAGAAAGGUGUAACUCUGUGAGCGAAAUGCAUACAUCACAAAGCAGUUUCACAGAUAGCCUCUUUCUAUUUUAUUGUGAGAUAUUUGGUUUUUCACUAUAGGUGUCAGUGGGCUCUUAAAUGUUUCUUCACAGAUUCUAAAAACAGAUUGUUUCAAACCUGCUGAAUAAAAAUAAAGGUUUAACCCUGUGAGCUUAAUCCACACAUCACAAAGCAGUUUCACACAUAGUUUCUUUCUAAUUUUUGUCACAGGAUACUUGGUGUUACACUAUAGGCCUCACUGGGUUCCAAAAUAUUUCUUCCCGGAUUUUACAAGGAGAAUUUUUCCAACCUGUUGAAUCAGAAGAAAGGUUGAACUCUGUGAGCUGAAUACACACAUGACAAAUCAGUUUCACUGAUAGCUUCUUUCUAGUAUUUAUCGGGGAUAUUUGGUUUUUCACUAUAGGCUUCACGGGGUUCCAAAAUGUCCCUUUGCAGAUUCUACAGCAGAUUCCUAUCUGCUGUGUAAAAAGAAAGGUUUAAGUCAUUGAGCUGAAUUCACAAAUCACAAAGCAGUUUCUCAGAUAGCUUCUUUCUAGUUUUUAUCAUGGAAUAUCUGGUUUUUCUCUACUGGCCUCAGUGGGCUUUGAAAUCUCCCUUCAUAGAUUUUACAAAAAGUUUGUUUUUAACCUGCUGAAUUAAAGGAAAGGUUUAAUUCUGUUAUCUGAAUGCACACAUUACAAAGCAGUUUCACAUAUUAAUUCUUUCUAGUUUGAAUUGCUGGAUGUUCUUUUUCUCACUAUAGGCCUCAGUGCACCCCAAAAUGUUCCUAUGCAGAUUCUACAAAAAGAGUGUAUCCAACAUGCUGAAUCAAAAGAAAAGUUCAAUUCUAUGAGCUGAAUCCCCAUAUCACAAAGCAGCCUCACACAUAUCUUCUUUCUAGUUCUUACUGUGAAAUAUUCUCUUUCUCAAUAUAGGCCUCAGUUGGCUUCUGAAAUGUCUCUUCACAGAUUCUACAAAAAGAGUGUUACCAACCUUCUUAAUCCAAAGAAAGUUUUAACUCAGUGAGCUGAAUCUGCACAUCACAAUUAGAUUCACAGGUACCUUCUUUAUUUCAUUUUUCACUCUAUGCUUCAGAAGGCUCAGAAAUGUCCCUUCACAAAUACUACAAAGAGAAUGUUUCCAAGCUGCUGAAUCAAAAAAAGGUUUACUUCUUUGAGCUGAAUACACACAUUACAAAGCAGUUUCACAGAUAGCUUCUUCUGUGAAUAUCAUGGGAUAUUCUGUUUCUCACUGUAGACUUCAGUGGGUUCCAAAAGUUCCCUUUGCAGAUUCAACAAAAAGACUGUUUACAACAUGCUAAAUAAAAAGAAAGUUUUAACACUGUGAAGUGAAUCCAUACAUCCUAAAGCAGUUUCACAGAUAGCUUCUUUCUUGAUUUUAUCUUGGGAUAUUCAGUUUUCCACUAUAGGUCUCAGUUUACUCCAAAAUGUCCCUUCACAAGUUCUACAAAAAGGGUGCUUCCAACUUGCUGUAUCAAAACCAAGGUUUAACUCUGUGAGCUGAAUGCACAUAUAACAAAGCAGUUUCACAGAUAGCUUCUUUCUCAUUUUUUAUUGCUGGUUCUUCUGUUUUUCACUAUAGGCUUCAGUGGGCUCUGAAAUGUCCUUUCACAGAUUAUAGAAAAAUCGUGUUUCCUACCUGGAAAAACGGGGCCAUAGGGUUGAGUGGAGGGUUGCAGGGACUCAGGAGGACGCUGAGACAGGCAGAGGCGAAAAGCAGUAAGACCGCAGAAAAUGCUGGGAGCCUCGCAAAGAGGCCUCUCCCAUCCCAGAAGCCUCAAAAGUUGCCUUGGGCAGGCUGUAAAUCCCCUGGCUUUGGCCGGGAGAGGUGGCUCACACCUGUAAUCCCUUGGCUCAGCACUUUGGGAGGCUGAGGCGGGCGGAUUAAGAGGUCAGGAGAUCCAGACCAUCCUGGCUAACAUGGUGAAACCCCGCCUCCACUAAAAAUACAAAAAAUUAGCCAGGCAUGGUGGAGGGCGCCUGUAGUCCCAGCAACUCCGGAGGCUGAGGCAGGAGAAUGGCGUGAACUCGGGAGGCGGAGCUUGCAGUGAGCUGAGAUUGUGCCACUGCACUCCAGCCUGGGUGACAGAGCAAGACUCCGUCUCAAAAAAAAAAAAAAAAAAAAAAAAAAAAAAAAUCCCCUGGCUUCAGAGCAGGGUGCCUGUUUCUCUCGAGGCAUGCCCUUACCAGUGAAAAUGGGGCCGUACGGUGGCGUGGGCGGCCAAUAAGGACUCAGGCGGACA
rnacentral:lncRNA from 1 species